rnacentral:lncRNA from 1 species
AGUCAUGUUGGGUGUUAGGGCUUCAGUAUCUGAAUUUGGGGAGAACAUAAGUCCAUGACACAUGUGUACAAAACUUUCAUUGGGCACACAUAGCACAGACCAAGAUAUAAUCGCCUUGAAAGUGGAUGAAAAGAAUGCAGCUGAAACAUUUAUCAAAUUAUUGGAGGCCAAAUGUGAACACUAGUGAAGAUCAACUGUGGUUGGAGAAAUGAAGAACAGCAAAACUCUAACCCCGGGACAAGUACAAGAUUACUGAGAAAGCUUCACCCCACAAACUCAGGGGCACUAAGACUGAGGCUGAGCCGUAACGACAGAAUUUUCCCACUGUUAAAGCAAAUAAAUAUGGCCUGAGAAGGAUUUCUAUAUUUGAGUCCUUGUGGACUAACUGCAACCUAGCUUAACAGAGUAAGACCAUUUAAAGGGACCAAAAAUGGAUGAACAUACUUGGCACUAUGAACUAAAAGAUCUUUGGCUAAAGAAGAGAUGAAGACUCAUUCAACUCCUACAAGUGAAUUAAGGAGCUCUGAGAAGGCAAAGCCAGCCCAGGAGGGUGGACACACUAAGAACAAUGUGCCUUGUCCUGAUACACAGUUGUGGUAUAGGUAACAAAAUCUGAGUAUCCAACCUAAGAUGUUACCCCUCACCUCACCAGAAUACCUCCAAUCCCUUCCCUGGAAACACAGAAUAAAUUCCUAUAGAAAGUUAUAAAGCAGAAAAACAA